CCAGGCUCAGCGGGGGAUGGGGGCGUCUCCUCCCUCGCUCCCUCCCUCCGUCGGGCCGGGUCCCCUCACCCGUGGCGGCUGCUACGUUGGCCGCGCUCCAGCGAGAUGAGGUAGGCGGCGAGCUUGGCGUCGCUCCAGCCGCUGCGGCGCCGCAGGUCCACCCAGGGCCCGUGCGCCUCGCCCAGGUACACGCGCCGCACGUCGUACUUCUUCCGGGACUCGAGCCGCCGCCGGGCCCGGUCCGACUCCGUGAGCCGCGGGCGGCCCCGCGCCUUGCGGCCCGCCGCGCCCUCCUCGGCGGCUACCUCCCCGCCCGCUCCCGCCUCAGCCUCCGCCUCCGCCUCGGGCUCCGGCGCCCGCUCCGCCAUCCCCCCCUCCCUGGUUACCAGCCUCCCCCGUUGUUAGGAGCCCGGCCGGAAGUGGCGCGCAUGUUCCGCGCCGACGGGAAAUUUCUCAUGGACUCUCACUGCCUCGCGGCGCCAAAAGAAGAUCGAGAGCGGAAGCUGCGCAUGCGCGCAAUAAGCGCCAGCAACAACCCACUCUCCCCUUACUCCCUUCUCUGUUAAACUUUCUGAGUAGGCAGAGACGGAAGGGGUAGCUGAAGGUUUGAGGCUGAUCCGGGAAGAAAGAGCCAGGAGAGCCCGUAGACCCUGGGAUGAUGGGGGCUUCUUCCUCCGCACCUUUAUCCUGAAUGCAUUGUGGGGAUGACAAGGGAAGGGUGGGAGCUGUCUAGGAAAGGCAGACGGAAGGCCAGCGGCUCGACCCGUCAGUUCUGGAUGAUGUCUCCAUCACUUGAAAAGACGUGACACCAGGCAUUAAAGGGGCAGGGACGCUACACUGCCAGAGAGGAGGCAAGACAGCCCCAAGCCGGAAAACUUUUAUUUGCUGUACACUAAAAGGAAAUCCUUCUGACUCCCACCUGAGGCUGAGUUGUGUGCUCCUCCGCUGGGACCGGGCCUGUCCUGGUCAUGCCCAGUAGCCAGCACAGAGGUGCUCCGUAAGUGUUUGAAGGAGGAAAUGACUGAGGGCUGACAGGUCUGGAGCCCCUGAGUGGACCUUACCUAUGAUGUGGGGCUCCGUGGGAUCCGUGGCAUCUCUGGAGUCUUUGGACAAAGGCAUCUGCAAGGAAAGUCGGGGUGGAAGCUUGUGGCCCCCACAGCCCCUAUGGAGGAGCCCGGGAGAGAGAAAUGGGGAUUCCAGUGAAUUCAGGGCCCCUCUUGGGUCUGUCUACUGGGCCUCCCACAAUCACUCGAGCCCACCGCCUUCUUGCUUCUAUCUAACUGGGACAGCGAUCCCGCACUCCUGCUGCCGUGGGUAGUGGAGGAAGAUGCUGUGGAAGAUGUUGCGAGGCCGGAAGACCUCCUUGGGGAAGAUGUCGAGCAGCAGGUUGUAGACGGCCAGGUCCCGCUCGACGCCGUACUCCCGCAUCUUGCGCAGGGCCAGGUAGAUGAAGUCAACGUGGCCCCGCUUGUGCACGUUGUACUGCGUAAAGUUCUGCACCGCCUGCACGAAGCUCGCCUUGUCCCGCACCCCAUCUGGCGCCUGCCUAAACAGGUCCACGUGGGGUGCCAGGGCCUUGACCGGCCCCCUCGGGGGUUCGGGUGGGCGUGGGACCAGCGACGAAUCAGGGUUGUGGGCGGCUGUGCUGCAGUGGAGGCCCCGCGGGGCCUGGGGCGGCCCCUGCGGAUAGAGAACCACUGCUGGAAUGUGGGUCUCCCAGUGCCCCUGGGGGACUGCCGUGCUGGGUCUCUGCUGGGAAAGGUGCCAGCAGGCAUCCCUAAGGGCCUCUGAAGAAGUGUGGUGCGCUGGUUACAGACCCAUGAUCAGACACCAUCACAAAGUGUGAGAGAGCAAUGGUAACGCCCCGACGGACACAAUGUCCACCACGAUGACAAACGUACACCCUCUGACGCAGCAAUCCUGCAUCUGGUAUUUAACUCGGAUAGCUCUAAAAGCACCUGCACCAAAUGACUUUUGUGCGUCUGCUGCGUCAGUGGAAAUGGCGCAUAUGUGCAUCGGCAAGGAAAUAAUUUAGCAAAUGGCCAAGAACCUGGACAAGGAGCACCUACCGCUGUAAGGCACACUGAGGAGGUCUUGUGUGACCUGGAGUGAGCUCCAAGGUAUAUCAUUAAAUGAAAAAAAAGCAAGGUGUGAAACGGUGUGUACAGUAGCUUCCCAUUUGUGUAAAAAAAAAAGAAAACAACAACAGCUUAUACAUAGUUGGUCCUCAUUAUUUGCGAAUUCCAUGUUUGCAAAUUUGCCUACUUGCUAAAAUUCAUUUAUGCUCCCAAAGCCAAUACUCUUCGCACUUUCUGGCCAUUUGCAGACACGUGCAGGGGGCUGGAAAGUUGAGUUGCCCAGCGCCUAUAUUCCCAGCUGAGAUGGAACAAGGCAAUGCUCGCCCUUCUUGUAUUGGCUCCCAUGCUGUCAACAAGUGUCCUUUUAUUUUAUAUUAUUUUUUUAAAUUUUUUGGCCGUGCUGCAUGUCUUGCAGGAACUAGUUCCCCAACCAG